rnacentral:rRNA from 1 species
GAGUUUGAUCUUGGCUCAGAUUGAACGCUGGCGGCAUGCCUUACACAUGCAAGUCGAACGGCAGCAUGAUCUAGCUUGCUAGAUUGAUGGCGAGUGGCGAACGGGUGAGUAAUACAUCGGAACGUGCCCUGUAGUGGGGGAUAACUAGUCGAAAGAUUAGCUAAUACCGCAUACGACCUGAGGGUGAAAGUGGGGGACCGCAAGGCCUCAUGCUAUAGGAGCGGCCGAUGUCUGAUUAGCUAGUUGGUGGGGUAAAGGCCCACCAAGGCGACGAUCAGUAGCUGGUCUGAGAGGACGAUCAGCCACACUGGGACUGAGACACGGCCCAGACUCCUACGGGAGGCAGCAGUGGGGAAUUUUGGACAAUGGGGGCAACCCUGAUCCAGCAAUGCCGCGUGUGUGAAGAAGGCCUCGG